CUGAGGGAAACCAGGGCCUCAGACUGACCCACAGGCCUUGGCCAGAUGCUCUUCUGCUCCAACUGACCUUCCUGUUCCAAGAGGCUGAUGACUGGGAGCCCUGCAGAGACGCCAGGCACACAGCCAUCAGCCAGUGAGGGAGUUUAGCCUAUUGAUCCAGUCCCAAGAUCCUCAUCAAAGAUAAUCAGUGCUCAAUUUUUGUCAUGUAAGUCUUCCCAAUCCUCAACCCCCUACUCUUUUUCACAAUGUUGUUGUAACACACACAGAUAAA
rnacentral:lncRNA from 1 species